rnacentral:rRNA from 1 species
UACAGAGGUCUCAAGCGUUGUUCGGAUUCAUUGGGCGUAAAGGGUGCGUAGGUGGCGCGCUAAGUCGGGUGUGAAAUUUCGGAGCUUAACUCCGAAACUGCAUUCGAUACUGGCGUGCUUGAGGACUGGAGAGGAGACUGGAAUUCAUGGUGUAGCAGUGAAAUGCGUGGAUAUCGAGAGGAACACUUAUAGCGAAAGCAAGACUCUGGGCAGAAACUGACGCUGAAACACGAAGGCCAGGGUAGCGAACGGG